rnacentral:rRNA from 1 species
GAUGAACGCUGGCGGCGUGCCUAAUACAUGCAAGUCGAGCGAACGGACGAGGAGCUUGCUUCUCUGAUGUGAGCGGCGGGCGGGUGAGUAACACGUGGAUAACCUACCUAUAAGACUGGGAUAACUUCGGGAAACCGGAGCUAAUACCGGAUGAUAUUUUGAACCGCAUGGGUCAAAAGUGAAAGACGGUCGUGCGGUCACUUAUAGAUGGAUCCGCGCUGCAUUAGCUAGUUGUGAAGUUAACGGCUUAUCAAGGCAACGAUGCAUAGCCGACCUGAGAGGGUGAUAGGCCACACUGGAACUGGGACACGGUCCAGACUCCUACGGGAGGCAGCAGUAGGGAAUCUUCCGCAAUGGGCGAAAGCCUGACGGAGCAACGCCGCGUGAGUGAUGACGGUCUUCGGAUCGUAAAACUCUGUUAUUAGGGAAGAACAUAUGUGUACGUAACUGUGCACAUCUUGACGGUAACUAAUAAGAAAGCACCGGCUAACUACGUG